AGUCUGUUCGACUUUUAAAUAAUUACAUGAAUUGAGUUCAGACCGGUGUAAGCCAGGUCGGUUUCUAUCUUUUAAUUAAUUUUUACAGUACGAAAGGACCUAAGAAUUAAAUAU
rnacentral:rRNA from 1 species